UGUGAUUGGAAGGAAUUAACAGACUGACUGAUUGUUGGAUGAUGAAAUUUGGUGCAGCCCCUUUAAAAGGAAAUAUACUUGAUUCUUCAGAGGGCAGAAUCCGGACUACUGAGAGUGAAUAUCUGCAUAUUACUCAUGACAAAAAGUAAUAAUCAGCCCACUGAGACUAAAGUCCAUGUGGUCAGACACAAAAGAGCCAUUGAUUUCUGAACCUGUCCACUCCUAUAUUUAAAGGCACAAAAAGCCCACAGGAAGUCAAUAUAAAGCAGGUAAUUUGACUUAGUGGUUUACAAGAAUUUAUGUGGAAAUUACUAAUGAGU
rnacentral:lncRNA from 1 species